GAACAAAUCAUAUUAGAUUGUUGGCUUGGGGAUGUGCACACUUGCAUUUAAUAUCUUUUUGUCUUUAAUUCAGAUUAUUUCGUCUGAGGAUGGGAGGAAGAAAGAAUGAUGUUAGCCUACAGCUUCUCUGUGAUGGUGAUGGAAAUUCAGAAAGAACGAGUCUGCUGCUGCUGCGGUGUUUGUGUUUGAUCCAGCCGGCAUGGCUGCACAUCACACUUGUGAGGAGACCAUGAGGGGCCCAAUUUUAUUUGGAGGCACUUCAGAGAUGCAUCCCAAGACUAGGAGAGACUGUUCUGUGGAAGGGGGACGCCAGUAGACCACGCUGAUUGUACUGACUAAACAAACUCCAUGGGAAGGAUAGAAAAAGUUACUCUGAGACAGGAUUCCGAUAUGUUUUGAAAGAGAAGAAGGUGUUUAGAGGAUCUGAGGGAAGAGGAUAUUCCAAAGGAGAAGCAACCUGUUUUGAGCAUCUGCUGCGCUGUACUCACCAUUGGGAAG